AAUCAUUUGUUUGUAUCUGCAGGUUUGUUUCUGAUGAUGGAGCGAGAGGUUUCAUCCAUCUCUGACAUGUACAGUCUGCAGACGAUGAAGCAGCAGCAGACUGAUAAUCUGUCACAGAUGAGUCACUGUACAGAGGAAGUGCAACAACAAGUGGUUUAGUUUUCUGAAAGCUGAAUGCCAACAAAAUAAAGGAACUUGUUGUUAACUUUGAACAGAGCUUCUCAGUGUCUUUUUGGACCUGUGAUUUCAGAAACAACUUAAUCUCAACCUUGUGAUUAGAAACGAGUAAAUGACUAGAUUUUUUCAAUUAUGUUUGGUUAAAACAAGCAAACUUUACAGUAGUCCUGUCUUUAGCUACACAUGUGUGGAACAUAAACUAAACCCACUUAUACACUCAUCUGGAUUUCGUUCUGUCUGCGACAAAACCUUAUGAAACCAGGUCUCCGCAGACCUGCCGCCGCCUCCCGGAGCCAGUACCCGGCCGCCGCGCUUCGACACUCCGGCUGAAUCUGUCAUGGCUUUGCGGGUCACAGCGGCCAUGAUGUCCGCAGCCCGGGCUGCUUCAUGCUGUUGUUUCCCCGCUGACAGAGGCUCGCACAGCGGCCAGAUGUUACGCGCAGCUCCGUGGUGACGCUCCGGCGGGUCUAACCGCCGCCAUGUUUCUUCUUCUUCUCUGAGGCCUUUGAACUCGAGACGGAAGAAAAAAUGUCGAGAGUUGAUUCAUGUGAUUUACACAAAGCAGAUGCAAAGCUGUUUUUAAAGUAUCCACCCGAACCUCCCUUCAGGUCUCCCCUCCACAGUCACUCCCCCAAAACA